rnacentral:rRNA from 1 species
CAGUAGCCACGGUAAUACGUAGGUGGCAAGCGUUGUCCGGAAUUAUUGGGCGUAAAGGGCUCGCAGGCGGUUUCUUAAGUCUGAUGUGAAAGCCCUCGGCUCAACCGGGGAGGGUCAUUGGAAACUGGGAAACUUGAGUGCAGAAGAGGAGAGUGGAAUUCAACGUGUAGCGGUGAAAUGCGUAGAGAUGUGGAGGAACACCAGUGGCGAAGGCGACUCUCUGGUCUGUAACUGACGCUGAGGAGCGAAAGCGUGGGGAGCAAACAGGAUUAGAUACCCCCGUAGUCCCUGUCUCUUAUAA